rnacentral:lncRNA from 1 species
AUUACUUUGUUUUCUAUUUACUGAAUUUAUAAAUAAAAAUUAUAUUUAUUUAAUUUAUUAAUAAAAUUUUAAUUGAAAUUAAAUCGAAUAGAAAAUUUUUUUUUGGCCGAAUUAAAAUGAAAUUAUAUAAUAUAUAAAUAAGUUUUGAAUUUUAAAAUACAAUAACAAAAAAAAAAACUAAUGUUGCAUUGCCGCGUCGUAGAAUUCCUCGCUCCUUCUCGAGAGAUCUUCCUCGUUGACUUGCACGGAUGUCUCGCCUGGAAUGGGGUUUUGUUGUCUCAUGGUCCUGAACAUGGCCUCCCAUUCCGGAUUUGUGGCCGCUAUGACGUCCAAGAAGUUCUCGAGACCAGUCAUACGAGCUGUGAACGACGAUUUUGUCGAGGCCAACUCGUUUUGUGUCGACGACAGCUGAUGUUGUGUCGUCUCCAACACGUCGCGCAGCUGAGAGACUUCAUCAUCCCGUCUC